GAGAAAUGAGACUCAGUGUUCAAUAGAUCCAUAGAGUGAUCAUAGUUAACAAUAAUCUGUUUUAUAUUUCAAAAUACUUAGGAGCAAAUAAUCUGAAUGUUCCCAGCAUAAAGAAAGGAAAAAUGCUUAAGGUGAUGGAUAUCACAAUUACUGAUUUGAUCACAUUAUUUGAAUAUAUGAAAAUAUCACAUGUACCUAGAAGACACAUACAUCCGAGUACACUUCUUCUUCUUACAUAUUAAAAAGUUAACUGUAAAACAGCCUCAGGCAGGUCUCUCAGGAAGUGUUCCAGAAGAAGGCCUUUUGUCCUAAGAGAUGACAGCUUCAUGCAUGUUAUUGCCCCUGAAGACCUUUCAGCAGGACAGGCUGUGGAGGCAGAAGACAGUGAUGUGGAUGAUCCUGAGCCUGGGUGGGCCUACGGGUUGGUCAUUUAUGAAGACUACAGAAAAGGAUUUCUCAGGGGGAACUGUUGAAUGG
rnacentral:lncRNA from 1 species